UAAAUAUACCAGUUGUGUACAUAUUAAACAAAAGGAAGUAUCCAUCUAAGAAAUGUUACGUCAUAGCGCUGCCCACGUGCUAAGAAAACAAAAAAAUAUUGAACAUGCGGCCCUGGAGACGGUUAAUAUGCACGUCCGUCCCGGUGACGCUGUAAAAGCCAAUAGGGCUAACAGCUACUGUCAAGUCGAAAAAAAAAUGCACGUAUGUAUAUCCAAUUCUAUAAGUAUGAUUAAAAAGUUUUAGUCUUCCGAACGAUUCAGGUAUUUAUGAUAGAAAAAUCAUGUUUUAUUUUAUUUGAGAAUAAUGAAAAAAAUUCUCUAUAACCACUUCUUUUCUUGCCAAAUGUUUUACAUUAUUUAAAUCGAUUUACCAAUAUGUCAGAAUUCGAUUCUCGCUCGAUAAUAAUACUCGAUACCUGUUCCAUCAAGAGCUCAUUUCAUCUCCACUGACCUAAAUGUAACUUGCCUAUUUUGAUGUACUUUCAGUUCUCACCAGCUUGUGAUUGAUUGGGUCUUGUCACAUAAAAGCACUCUACUUUCUGGAAUUGUAAAUAAAAUUUCAUAUCCUUGUGAAGUUUGAAAUAUUAUAGUCAUUGAUAUACAGGUAAUAUUUUAGAAGAAAAUUUUCUUUUGCUCCAUAUCUUGUCAUACAUUUU